ACACAGGCAGUGAAGAGAAGAGUACAUGAUCGCAGACUGGCAAAGAGAGCGCCCACAUGGUGAAAGGGCGUGCAGUCAGACCAUGGAAGAUGGCCUCUGAGCCAGGUAUGCUGAAUGAUGAAGCAGCCCGGGCGCUCCCGUUACAGAGCUUGGGUAUCAUGGAAACAUCGUACCUUAAAAGGCAUCUGCGGCGACGCAGCUGCGAAAUUGGGUGGUAACACGAUCUCUCGUCCCUUUG
rnacentral:ncRNA from 1 species